ensembl:lncRNA
CUCUUCAGGAGGAGAGGGAGGAGGCAAGAAGAUCUAAAGAUCAAGGUCUGCCUGGGAUGCAAUGGCCCACAGAAGAUUAUAUUAACUGUAUGAGGGAUCCAGAGAAAAGAUCAUCCUACCUGUGCCCUGGACUCAGACUCACUUCAACAAAUACUCCCAGCAUCUUGAAGGUUCCAGUGUUCUCAUGUGGACUUCCAGCUCAUGGUCUUCCUACACCAGCUGCCAAGGGGUUGUUACAACUACUUAAGUUUUAGUAUGCCUGGUUUUAUGUGGAGGCCCAAGAUCCACUUGGACUUGAUCUUUCUACAGAGUGAUAACAAUGGACUUAUUUGCAUUCUUCAACAUGCUGACCUCCAGUUGAACUAGAACUAUUUGUUGAAAAUGCUAACUUUUUUCGACUAGAUGGUUUUAGCACCUUUGUCAAAGAUCAAGUGACCAUAGGAGUGUUGGUUUAUUUCUGG